GCAGCAGUCGCUCCCCGAACCUCGACCUUCCCCGGCCGUUCAGCCAUUUCCCCCAGCACUGUUCUUCUUUGGGCGCGGGCCCCGGUGUCGCGGAGGGAGGGCGAGUGGCCGCCUCGGGCCUGGCUCGGACUGCCGGCCGGGCGGGGAGGCCCUGGGAGCUCUGGACAGAGGGCGAGGAACCUUCUAGAAAACGGCCGCAGGGCGGGUUGGAAGGCCCAGCAUCCUGCGGGCGAACUUGACUUGGAUCAUUUCUUGCUGUGCCUCUGGAAAUGAUGAGCAAAACGUGAACUAUGUGCCGAGGUUGACAGACGGCCCCCGAAAAGUGCAAUGUUGUAACGAAGCGCUGUGAGGAACAGUCUCCGCUGUCCCGCUGUGCGAGCUGCUCUAUUACAAUAUAUCCCCCGAGCUUCCUUCUGGUCUGCAAAUUCAUUUUGGUGCGUGCACAAUAAAGUUUGGCUGAUUACGA